UACGAAGGCCCCAAGCGUUAUCCGGAUUCAUUGGGCGUAAAGCGUUACUAGGCGGCGACAUAAGUCACUCGUCAAAUCCAAGGGCUCAACCCUUGGGCAGCUGGCGAUACUGUGUUGCUUGAGGAUGGUAGAGGCAAACGGAACUACCGGUGUAGCGAUAAAAUGCGUUCAUAUCGGUAGGAACACCAAAGGCGAAAGCAGUUUGCUGGAACAUUCCUGACGCUAAAUAACGAAAGCGUGGGGAGCGAAUGGG
rnacentral:rRNA from 1 species